AAAAAGGACCUGCUUCAGUUGGACAAGAAGAGCUUGGAUAGAAGGAUCAGGAAACAUCAGAGCUUCAGCAUGAUGGCCGGUCGCAUCUUGUUCUGCUUCUUCAUCCUCUCUCUGCAGGUUGGGAACAACAGAUCUAUAGAAGACAUUGGACGUUACUAUUGGCUACCUGGAGAAGACCUUAUCAUUACAUGCUACAAUCUCUCACCAGGACCACAUCGGAUUUUCUGUCAAGGAGAAAACGUUCUUCUUAACACAACAUCUAAUAAAGCAGCAAGAGGAAGAAGCAGCAUUAAAUAUUCUGAAAGAGUUUGUGACAAGUCUUACAAUCUAACUGUAAGAGUCUCCAAUUUGACCCUUUCUGACUCAGGACUGUACAGAUGUGGUCUGACUGAUUCUCCUUCUACAUUCAUAAAAUUCAAAGCUUUUGUUGCAGAAGAUUUACUGGAUGGAAGCAAAGAUCAUCACCUCCAUAAAGAAGCUGGCAGCUCACUGACAGUCGCCUGUUCCUUCAAUUUCUCUGGAAAAACCAAAUAUUUCUGCAGAGGAGAAUGUGAAGAAGGAGAAAACAUCCUUGUUUACACCGAUGGAGUCAGAGCUCAGAGCAGCAGAUACAGCAUUGGACAUGGCAAACACAAAACUUCAGCUAUUUUUUAUGUCACCAUUAAGAAUCUGACCACGUCUGACUCCGGACGAUACAGAUGCCUUUCAUAUUUAAGCUCUGGGAAAAAUUCAUAUGUGGAUUUUAACGUCUUCGUCUCCGAUGGUGAGUUUAAAUAGAAGCAGCAUUCAGCGUCUAUGCACCACAAAUCUGGAACAAACUUAUUGAAAACUAGAAAACAGCCAAAACAUUGAGAUCUUUUAAAUCUGGACCACAAACCCACUUGUUAAGAA